rnacentral:rRNA from 1 species
GACGAACGCUGGCGGCGUGCUUAACACAUGCAAGUCGAACGGAAAGGCCCUGCUUUUGUGGGGUGCUCGAGUGGCGAACGGGUGAGUAACACGUGAGUAACCUGCCCUUGACUUUGGGAUAACUUCAGGAAACUGGGGCUAAUACCGGAUAGGAGCUCCUGCUGCAUGGUGGGGGUUGGAAAGUUUCGGCGGUUGGGGAUGGACGCGCGGCUUACCAGCUUGUUGGUGGGGUAGUGGCUUACCAAGGCUUUGACGGGUAGCCGGCCUGAGAGGGUGACCGGCCACAUUGGGACUGAGGUAGGGCCCAGACGCCUACGGGAGGCAGCAGGGGAGAAUAUUGCACAAUGGGCGGAAGCCUGAUGCAGCGACGCCGCGUGCGGGAUGACGGCCUUCGGGUGAGAAACCGCUUUCGCCUGAGACGAAGCGGGAGUGACGGUAAUGAGUAAAGAAGCACCGGCUAACUACGUG